AACGAACGCUGGCGGCGCGCUUAACACAUGCAAGUCGAACGAGAAGGCGUAGCAAUACGCUUGUAAAGUGGCGAACGGGUGAGGAAUACGUGGGUAACCUACCCUCGAGUGGGGGAUAACCCGCCGAAAGGCGGGCUAAUACCGCGUACGCUUCCGAUCUCGCGGGAUCGGAAGGAAAGCUGUCCCAAGGGGAUGGCGCUCAAGGAUGGGCUCAUGUCCUAUCAGCUUGUUGGUAGGGAACGGCCUACCAAGGCAUCGACGGGUAGCUGGUCUGAGAGGACGAUCAGCCACACUGGCACUGCGACACGGGCCAGACUCCUACGGGAGCAGCAGUGAGGAAUAUUGCG
rnacentral:rRNA from 1 species